UGGGGAAUUUUGGACAAUGGGCGAAAGCCUGAUCCAGCAAUGCCGCGUGUGUGAAGAAGGCCUUCGGGUUGUAAAGCACUUUUGUCCGGAAAGAAAUCCUUGGCUCUAAUACAGUCGGGGGAUGACGGUACCGGAAGAAUAAGCACCGGCUAACUACGUGCCAGCAGCCGCGGUAAUACGUAGGGUGCAAGCGUUAAUCGGAAUUACUGGGCGUAAAGCGUGCGCAGGCGGUUUGCUAAGACCGAUGUGAAAUCCCCGGGCUCAACCUGGGAACUGCAUUGGUGACUGGCAGGCUAGAGUAUGGCAGAGGGGGGUAGAAUUCCACGUGUAGCAGUGAAAUGCGUAGAGAUGUGGAGGAAUACCGAUGGCGAAGGCAGCCCCCUGGGCAAUACUGACGCUCAUGCACGAAAGCGUGGGGAGCAAACAGGAUUAGAUACCCUGGUAGUCCACGCCCUAAACGAUGUCAACUAGUUGUUGGGGAUUCAUUCCUUAGUAACGUAGCUAACGCGUGAAGUUGACCGCCUGGGGAGUACGUCGCAAGAUUAAAACUCAAAGGAAUUGACGGGGUCAUAGCUGUUUCCU
rnacentral:rRNA from 1 species